ensembl:lncRNA
GUUUUAUUCAUGUAUAUAUUGUGAAAAGGUCACCACAAUAAGUUUAGUUAACAUCCAUCACCUCAAAUACUUACAAGUUUUUUCUUAUGAUGAGAGCUUGUGAGAUUUACUCCCUUAGAACUUUCCAGUAUAUAACACAUUUAUUGUUAACCAUAGUUUCCAUGCUGUAGAUAGAUCCUCAGAACUUAUCUUAUAAUGCGGGCUUCAUACCUUUUGGCCACCUUCACCCAUGUCCCCCACUCCUUACCCCUGCAUCUGGCAACCACCAAUCUGUUCUCUGUUUCUACAAGUUUUUUUUUUUUUUUUUUCAGAUUCUACAUGUAAGCGAGAUUAUGAGGUAUUUUUGCCUAACAUUUCAUUCCACCCAUGUUGUCUAAAAUGGCAGGAUUUUCUUCUUUUUUAUGGCUGAAUAAUAUUCCAUUGUGUAUAUAUACACCAUGUUUUCUUCAUCCAUUCAUUCAUUGACGGGAGCUUAGGUUGUUUCUAUAUCUUUACUAUUGUAAAUAAAUCUGCAAUGAACAUGGGAGUGGGCUUCUGUGAUGGUUCAGUGGUACAGAACCCACCUGUCAAUGCAGGAGACAGGGUUUUGAUCCCUGGGUUGGGCAGAUCCCCGGGAGUAGGAAAUGGCAACCCACUCCAGUAUUCUCGCCUGGGAAAAAUCCCAUGGACUGAGGAGCCUGGUGGGCUCCAGUCCAUUGGGUCAAGAGAUUUGGGCUUGUUGUUGUAAACAGCAACAACCACGGGAGUCCAAGUACCUCUUCAACACAGUGAUUUCAUAUCCUCUGGAUAUAUACCCUGUAGUGGAAUUGCUGGAUCUUGUGGUAGUUCUGUUAAGUUUUUGAGCAAUUCAUACUGUUUUGUAUAGUGGCUGCACUAAUUUAUCUUCCUACCAACAGUGCACAAGGGUUCCCUUUUCUCCACAUCCUCAGUAGCACUUGUUAUCUCUUAUCUUUUUGACAAUAGCCACUCUAACAGGUAUGAGGAGGUAUCUCACUGUUAGAACAGCUGUUUUCAUUUG